UGGGACGAUGAAGAACGGAGCCAGCUGCGAGACUUGGUGUGAAUUGCAGGAACAUUGAGCACUGAUUUUUCGAACGCGCAUUGCGGCCUCGGGUCCUGCCCGGGGCCUCGCCUGUCUGAGGGUC
rnacentral:rRNA from 1 species